UACGUAGGUGGCAAGCGUUGUCCGGAAUUAUUGGGCGUAAAGCGCGCGCAGGCGGCUUCUUAGGUCUGAUGUGAAAUCUCGGGGCUCAACCCCGAGCGGCCAUUGGAAACUGGGAAGCUUGAGUACAGAAGAGGAGAGUGGAAUUCCACGUGUAGCGGUGAAAUGCGUAGAUAUGUGGAGGAACACCAGUGGCGAAGGCGACUCUCUGGUCUGUAACUGACGCUGAGGCGCGAAAGCGUGGGGAGCAAACAGG
rnacentral:rRNA from 1 species